AUGUACAUCAUUGGGAAACAUAAAUCAAAAGUCCUUAAAUGGGUAAAAGCUAAGAAAAUAUUCACAAGAAGAUAUGUAUUUGUCCCCAUUGUUUAUUGGGGACAUUGGAGCCUCCUUGUGUUGUGUAAUUUUGGCGAGACUAACUACUUGGGUACUCCAAAGGGGCCACGCAUGCUACUGUUGGAUUCACUUAGAACAACACAACCAAAGAGGUUGCCAUCCGUCAUCUACAGCUUCAUUAUUGAUAUUUUAAAAACAGAAGAGCAGGAAGAGAUAGGGCAGUUCACAAAUCAAGUCCAGCUUGAGUUUCCUGAGGUUCCACGGCAAAGUGGAAAUGAUUGUGGUAUAUAUGUUCUGUAUUUUAUAUACUGUUUUCUCAAAAUCGAAAAACUGGGAGAAGAUUUGAGCCAGCUGGGUGCAUUGUUCGACCCAGAGGUACUACAGAACCUGGAGGACAUCCGCAAGGCUAUUCUUUUGAAACAGGAUGCCACUAUUACAGAGUAG
rnacentral:rRNA from 1 species